CGUAAUGUUAGAAUUUUGAAGGAACCGAUUUGCUGGCUGGUUUUCUGCUGGAUUUCCUGAACCUACUCCUCCCUGAGACGUUUUCCUCCUAGUAUUGCAUUAAUGGUAAUGCAUGCAAGGAAACUACCACGUAUUAGCGAUGGGUUCAUCGAGAAGCACCAGGCCCACAGCUACGAGAAUUCUAAAUACAGCAGUAAGUACCGGUACAGUAACCAUGAGAAGAGUAGGGAUUCACCCUCAACAAAUUCUCUGCGAUCCUCAUCGCCAGACUCCAGGUCACAAUCUCCACGCUACCACAAAGCAAGCUACUACAAGGUCCGUGAGAAGGAGAGGGAGAGAGACCGUGAAAACCGAGAUCGUGAAAGGGACCGCGAUAGAGACCGGGAUCGUGACAGAGAUCGGGAACGAGACCGUGAGCGCGAGAGGGACAGAGACCGGGAUUAUCACUACAGGGACAGAGAUGACAGUAGGUCACCUAAAGACCGCCGAAGAGAAGUCAGGGACCGGGACCGGGACCGAGACCGUGACAGAGACAGCCGAGGAAAUCAUGACCGCAUUAAUUCAGUUCACAAGAAAGAAGAGAAAGAACGUUUGGCGAGAGUGGGUGACUGGUCGGAGCAUGUGAGUUCUUCAGGGAAGAAGUAUUACUAUAAUUGCCGUACAGAGGUUUCUCAGUGGGAAAAGCCUCCAGAGUGGCUAGAAUGGGAACGAACACGUGCCAAGGAAACCUCCAACCGGUCACAUGACAAAGGUUCAACUAGGCAAGAUAAACAUUCCAAUAUGGGAGAGAGUUAUCGGGAAGGACGGGACAUCAGGGACGGUGAGCGGGAGAGAAAUGAUCGAGAUAGGAGAGAAAUGUAUCGAAAUGAUGACAUGUACGAUAGAAGAGAUUCUAGAAAAUAUGGCCAAGAGGUUGGUGCAGCAGAUAUGGAGAUUUCUUCUGGUGAUAGUACUCCAACUUCAGAACAUCAUCACACCAGGAGCAGCGGAGAGAAUAGCCAUGAUGUUGGUGGGGCAAAUGUGUCGUUAGCGCCUUCAGGUCUGGCAUCGUCAUCAGGCACGACAGUUACGUCCACCCAUGCGGGCACAACAACCACACACUUGCAAAGUAGUUUAAGACCUAAGCUUGGGACAAGUUUAGGGCACAUGCCCACCUCCUUACCUUCGUCCCUUCCCCCGUUAUGUAGUAGUGCGUUGUCAUCCACCUCAGCUACCAAUACCACAACCACCACCUCAUUAGCAAGCUGCAUCCCCGCCUUGGGUGGUUCCACAUCCAUGGCAGUGCCGCAACUCUUAAGUCUCCAUCCCCGCCUCGUGACGCUCUCAAAUUCAUUGAGCAAGAGUGGAAUAGACUUGGAUACAGCAAAGACUGUCAACUCUAACAACUCUCAUUCUCAUGAUGGGGAAGGACUAGUAGUGAAAUCACAAUUAGAACCACUAACAAUAUCUGCAAGUAGUAAUAAUAUAGGUGGAGGUCCCCCAACACCAACACAUUCGGAGAACCAAGACGGCAUCGAUAUUAGAAAAGGCAACCACGCGCUUUUCAGGCACAGGUUUCUCGGAUUAACAAGUUUAUCGUUUAUGGUUUAUCCGAAUAAAGUUGUGAAAGCGGGACUCGAGGUGCGAGUGUCUUAGUUUGCUCCCUGGCUACCCUAGGAACCACAUGAGUGCUUUGUUUUGGUGUGUGGACCAACACUGAAGCAUUUAUUAUACUUUCAUCCUUGGAUUUAUCACUGGAAUUUCAAAACAUUUUGCACCCUGUCGGGUCAGAAGGCAGUUUGUGCAGGAUCAAGGCUUCAUUCUACUAACAAGAAAUCCAAGAGAAACCCGUCUGUGAUGACAUUUGGAAGAAAAUAAUUAAUAAAAGAAGAUUUGAAAGUGACAUCCUUUGGAUUGGUGUGUGUGUGUGUGUGUGCUGAUUACGAAAUGAGCCAGACGGAUCUUGAAUAUUAAUAAGGAUAAAUCUACAUUCUGAUAAUUUUUCUCAAAGUGAAAGUGAUAAAGCAAUAUGCAGUAUAAAGGCAGUGAGUAAAGCCAUGGUGAAAAGUGUUGAUGAUGCAAUGUGGGAAUGGCAGAAGUUGGGGGGAAACACAGUGGCAGGAUGGCUACUCGUGGAGAAAGUAAGAAAAUUUCACAAGUCUGUGAAUGUCACUGAGCAGUGUUUGAAUACCAGUCGACUCCAACAAUAGCGUCACAAACCAUCUAGACUACUAUACACUAUAAACAGUUGUCUUUUAACUUCGUAAGAAGACUCUGUGGGUAGCCCAAACAGCAGUAUUAACUCCUUGCAGUCGUUGACACAGACAGCAGGAGGAUCACUAGCAGGGCUACGGCCGUUGGUACCUGCCCUCACCCCUAGCCUCGCUAAUUAUUAUAAUGAAAACCUCAUUAC
rnacentral:misc_RNA from 1 species